rnacentral:rRNA from 1 species
CUCUGAGAGAGAGUAAACAGUACGUGAAACCGCAUAAAGGUAAACGGGUGGCGUCAAGCUGCUAGCCUGGAGGAUUCAGCUGGUCAUUUUGUGGGGUAUACGUCCUGUGUAUCGCAGUCGGGGAUAGUGAGUAGUCUGCUGGCAAACGGCAGGCCUGGUCGCAAGGCUAGGAUGUACGAUCCACGUGUUUGGUGGUGUACGCUGCUCGGCUAUUGGACUGGAUGGCCGGUGCACUUCCUCCAUUAAGGUGAACACCACGACCGGUGGAACUGCCAGUCUGGUAUAGCCAAGUUGUGUCUAUUUCGGCAUUCGUGCGGAUUAGGCUCAAUCACAGGCAGAUUCGGUGGACGGUGAGUAGACUCACGGGUUUGCUCAUGUUAUCGGUCACUGGCUGUCAACGGGUUUGUCCGCUGAGGUUGCAGUCCUUGGUGGGUGGCCUGGUGGGCUAUUCUGGUAAGAAUAACUGUGCAGGGCACCGGAGUUGUCGGUCUCUAAUCCGGUUGACACGCGCGCUGCAGGUGUGUGUGGAGGUGCCAUUUCGGCCUUUCGUUGCUUGAGUCUGAUUGCCGUGUCGCCUGCGAAAAGUAGGUCCGGUAGUGGCUCGACUACGGUCGGUGCAUGAAGUGGUGCUUCUCUGUCAGUCGGUGUGGACCCAACAGUCUGUGGUGUAGUGGUAGACGAGCUACCCGACCCGUCUUGAAACACGGACCAAGG